ACCGGGAGAUAGCUGGUUCUCCCCGAAAGCUAUUUAGGUAGCGCCUCGUGAAUUCAUCUCCGGGGGUAGAGCACUGUUUCGGCAAGGGGGUCAUCCCGACUUACCAACCCGAUGCAAACUGCGAAUACCGGAGAAUGUUAUCACGGGAGACACACGGCGGGUGCUAACGUCCGUCGUGAAGAGGGAAACAACCCAGACCGCCAGCUAAGGUCCCAAAGUCAUGGUUAAGUGGGAAACGAUGUGGGAAGGCCCAGACAGCCAGGAUGUUGGCUUAGAAGCAGCCAUCAUUUAAAGAAAGCGUAAUAGCUCACUGGUCGAGUCGGCCUGCGCGGAAGAUGUAACGGGGCUAAACCAUGCACCGAAGCUGCGGCAGCGACGCUUAUGCGUUGUUGGGUAGGGGAGCGU
rnacentral:rRNA from 1 species